rnacentral:lncRNA from 10 species
AGAUGUGCUUGCUUCGCUUUCCACCAAGAUUGUAAAGUUUCCUGAGGCCUCCCCAGCCAUGACUCCUAUACAGCCUGUGCAACUAUACCAAGACUAUUCAACGAGGGAAAUAACUUCUUCAAUAAGUGAUAUUGGGACAACUGGAUAUCAACAUGCAAAAGAACGAACUUGGACCCCUACCUCAUUCUGCAUUCAAAAAUUAACUCAAUGGAUCAAAUACCUAAAUAUGAAACAGCUAAAAGUAUAAUAUUCUUAGAGUAAUAUAUAAGCAUAAAUCACUAGGACCUUGUUGAAUUAGACAAUAAUUUCUUAUGACACCAAAAAUGCAACAACAUAAAUAGACAAAUUGGAUUUUAUCAAACUUAAAAAGAACUUGUAUGUUUCAAUGAACACCAUCAAGAAAGUGAAAGGACAACCCACCAAAUGAGAGAAAACACAUCCACACAAAAACUUGUACACCAGUAUUCAUACCAGCAAUCAUUUAUAAUACACAAAAGUGGAAACAAUCCAAAUAUUCCUCAGUAGAUGAAUGGAUAAAAUGUGGUAUAUUCAUACAAUGGAAUACUAUUCUGCCAUAACAGGAAUGAAGUUCUGAUACAUGCUAAAAUGUGGACGUACCUUGAAAACAUUAUGCUAAAUUAAAGAAGUCAGACACUAAAGGCCACAUAUUGUAUGGUUCCUUUUACAUGAAAUGUUCAGAACAGGCAAAUCUAGAGAAGCAGAAAGUAGAUUAGUGGUUAUCAAGGGCUGGGGUUGGAGGCAUUGGGGAGUGAUUGGUAAUGAUAUGGGAUUUCUUUUGGGAAUGAAUGAAAAUAUUCUAAAAUUGGUAUUUAUGUAAUUUUAUGAAUAUGUUAAAAACCACUGAAUUGUAUACUUUAAGAGAGUGAAUUUUAUGUUAUAUCUCAAUAAAGCUGUGAUAAAACAACCCAUUCUACACAAAACAAAAUAUUUGAUAAGUGAAUGAAUGGAUCUCUUCACAUUAUAUGUACUUGAAAGUGUAUCUCAGAGUUUGUUUCAUGUCAGUACUUAUUAUUAGUGUACAAUGUUUAUUUUAAAAGCGCAUUGAUGGAUAUUUAAGUUGUUUCCAAUCUUUUGCUAUUGCAGGCAAUAGUUCGUCGAAUAGCCUUAUAU